GGGACCUUACGGGACGCAGCAGUGGGGAAUAUUGGGCAAUGGGCGCAAGCCUGACCCAGCAACGCCGCGUGAAGGAAGAAGGCUUUCGGGUUGUAAACUUCUUUUCUGAGGGACGAAGGAAGUGACGGUACCUCAGGAAUAAGCCACGGCUAACUACGUGCCAGCAGCCGCGGUAAUACGUAGGUGGCAAGCGUUAUCCGGAUUUAUUGGGUGUAAAGGGCGUGUAGGCGGGAAUGCAAGUCAGAUGUGAAAACUAUGGGCUCAACCCAUAGCCUGCAUUUGCAACUGUAUUGCUUUAGUGCUGG
rnacentral:rRNA from 1 species